AUGAGAGAUCCUGGGUUCUUUCCUUCAUUGAGUAGUCAAGAAUACCUAUGAGAGUCCAGGCGUCUCGAAUGCCUUGGAAUCAAAAUUUUUUUUAUACAUACAUACUUCCAUUCCAGUGCCUCGAUUGUAAUAUAGCAAUUCAUAGUCAAUUACUACUCAGACUUUAUUGCUUACUAUGUGUUUUCUCUAUUUGCUUCAGCAGAACCUCUGCAAUAACAAGAUAGCCCACAAAAUCUUCAUCAGCAUCCACAAGAUUCAUCAAUUGAACUUCAAUAGCCACAGCAGAUCCACCAGUCCCCAGCAGUAGAGGAAUACCAUUAGUUGAAAUACAGCAGCAGGAGAUCCUGCCAUUGCGAUUCCAGGGCAAAUGCCAAAUGCAAAUAAGUUUCAGCAAGGAAUUGGAUGAGAGUUGGGACUCUUUAUUCAAUCGGUUGGAGCAGAUAAUGAUACGACGAGUAGGAGGAGACCGAGCAGAGUUCAAAAGGCCUAAUCAAAACAUACAUAUCCAUUGGGAAAAAUCCAGAUAUGUGGCUAUUUGAGGCAGAGCAAUAUCCAACCAUGAAUUGAGGAUUAUCAGAGAGUAAAAUGUAGAAGCCACCGUCACGUGCUUUGAUGGAGAGGCAUAGGCAUGGUAUCUAUGGAUAGAAGAUUGGGAAGAAUUGAAGAUUUUGAUGUUGGAUCGAUUUCGCUCCAUUGUUGAGGAAUCUCUAGUGAGUUAGUGUGGUGUGGUGGACGAGAAGACGAAGGUGAAAGAAAAGCCGUGUCAAUUGUAGAUAUCUCCAUCGCCAUCGCCGUCACCAAAGGAGGGGGAAAACUAUGAGCAUCAACUUGCUAAACUUCAAUUGCCGCUGGGAGAUGGUAUCAGAGAUGGAUCAAAACCUCCAAUACCCAAAUUUUUACAAUUGUAUAAAUUAUGUAGAUCUCAAAUUGAAGUACGAGCUAUGCCUAUUUCUUAGGGACAAAGAAAACUUCUCUAUUCAGCAUCAAGAAAGCACAAAGAGUUGUAGGUUAUAGUUCUCAAUAAAGAAACUAUGGAAUGGGAUCGAGAGCUUCGCGAAGAGUAGCGCAACAGUGUAGGAAGCGAUAGGAUGGAAGAUUAUGUGGAGCUUUUCCUAAAUACUCUAGAAAAUUUGAUUGCAAUGAUGACCAAAAAAGUACAAUAGGGAGUAAAGCAGCAGGAGGAAAAUGGUGAUAAUCAAGUAUGGUGUUAAACGCAAAUUUAAUUCGAAUAGCUAGUCUCACUUUGAAAUUUUGUACACGGGUGG
rnacentral:lncRNA from 1 species